CCUACGGGAGGCAGCAGUUGGGAAUAUUGGACAAUGGGGGAAACCCUGAUCCAGCAAUGCCGCGUGAGUGAUGAAGGCCUUCGGGUUGUAAAGCUCUUUCAGCGGGAACGAAACGGUACGCUCUAACAUAGCGUGCUAAUGACGGUACCCGCAGAAGAAGCACCGGCUAACUACGUGCCAGCAGCCGCGGUAAUACGUAGGGUGCGAGCGUUAAUCGGAAUUACUGGGCGUAAAGCGUGCGCAGGCGGAUUGUUAAGCAAGAUGUGAAAUCCCCGGGCUUAACCUGGGAAUGGCAUUUUGAACUGGCAAUCUAGAGUGUGUCAGAGGGGGGUAGAAUUCCACGUGUAGCAGUGAAAUGCGUAGAGAUGUGGAGGAAUACCGAUGGCGAAGGCAGCCCCCUGGGAUAACACUGACGCUCAUGUACGAAAGCGUGGGUAGCAAACAGGAUUAGAUACCCUGGUAGUCCACGCCCUAAACGAUGUCAACUGGUUGUUGGGGGAGUGAAAUCCCUUAGUAACGAAGCUAACGCGUGAAGUUGACCGCCUGGGAAGUACGGUCGCAAGAUUAAAACUCAAAGGAAUUGACGGA
rnacentral:rRNA from 1 species